UCUUAGCGGGCAUUCAAACACCAGUUCCCUUUGCUGUUCCUUCUGUGCCUUUGCCCGUAAUCUCUCCCCACCUCUAGCAUUCAGGCUAUUCAUCUAACCAGAGACCAGGUGCUAUAAGGAGACAGCCCAAAUGAAGCCAGGUGUUAAUGAAUGAGGAUCAUCAUUCGCCUUGCUCCUGGGUUACGGCUGUAACCCUUUCCUUUUUCUUUAUUUAUGGGGAGCUGGGCUGCAAGCGGUCUAACCUCGCUGGCUCGGAGGACUCCGAAGAACGGGUAGAGGAAGGCAGGCACCAGGGCUGCAGCUCCAAGAGGCACCGCCUCAGACACCCAGUAGACAGCAGUCACGAUCAACACGCGGAGUUGGAUGCUUUAACUUGGACCGGGACAUAAUAUAUUGACGUCAAGCUGAUCGAUACUAAACGUUCCUGGGUGGCUGAAGGAGCGCAGAGAAGAAAACACAGAGGACACAAGGAAUUCAAGGCCACACACAUGGGAACAUGACGGACUCUGCUUUCAACUUACAGGUUCCUUCCCUAAAGUUCACAGGGCACUUAAGGGACUAAAAGUGGUCACCAGACUCCUCCAAGACCCACCACAGGCUCCACGUUCCCUGUCUGCCCCAGCCUGGCCCUCCGCGUCAUUCCUGGGGGCUCUUCCUGGGUCUCCAUGUGGCUCUCAGAUAAAGACGGUCACAUGUUGGCUCCUGACAAAUACAGGCGCACCAGCCUGUCCCCAUGGGCCCUUCCGCUGGCCCCUGCCCCGUGCGGUGGCCAGCAGUCCCGGCAGCCACAGCCCCUUCCCUGGGGGCCGUGGGGUUGGGGAACUGGGGCUGUGGUGGAGGGGUGAAAAUGGCAGCUUUUAGGAAGAAGGUAUGUCCGUUUCCUCCAGAAAAACACUUCCAUGUGUUCCAACCCACAAAAAAGCCAGCUUUAGGGACGGUAGGAGCCUCCCGUGCCCUCCCCGUCUCGCCCUCCCGCCUGGUCCCCGGCCCGCAGGUGCGCGUGGGGGACAGGUGGGUACUCACGCUGCUGGGGUGCAGGACGGGCAGAGGCAGCAGCAGGAGCGGGACGCAGACGACCAGCAGCAGCUUCCGGGCGCGGAACAGGCCGUGCAGCA